GAUGAACGCUGGCGGCGUGCCUAAUACAUGCAAGUCGAGCGAACGGACGAGAAGCUUGCUUCUCUGAUGUUAGCGGCGGACGGGUGAGUAACACGUGGAUAACCUACCUAUAAGACUGGGAUAACUUCGGGAAACCGGAGCUAAUACCGGAUAAUAUUUUGAACCGCAUGGUUCAAAAGUGAAAGACGGUCUUGCUGUCACUUAUAGAUGGAUCCGCGCUGCAUUAGCUAGUUGGUAAGGUAACGGCUUACCAAGGCAACGAUGCAUAGCCGACCUGAGAGGGUGAUCGGCCACACUGGAACUGAGACACGGUCCAGACUCCUACGGGAGGCAGCAGUAGGGAAUCUUCCGCAAUGGGCGAGAGCCUGACGGAGCAACGCCGCGUGAGUGAUGAAGGUCUUCGGAUCGUAAAACUCUGUUAUUAGGGAAGAACAUAUGUGUAAGUAACUGUGCACAUCUUGACGGUACCUAAUCAGAAAGCCACGGCUAUCUACGUG
rnacentral:rRNA from 1 species